rnacentral:rRNA from 1 species
UACGGGGGGGGCAAGCGUUGUUCGGAAUUACUGGGCGUAAAGGGCGCGUAGGCGGCCAUCUAAGUCAGACGUGAAAUCCCCCGGCUUAACCUGGGAACUGCGUCUGAUACCGGAAGGCUUGAGUAUGGGAGAGGGAUGUAGAGUUCCAGGUGUAGCGGUGAAAUGCGUAGAUAUCUGGAGGAAUACCGGUGGCGAAGGCGGCAUCCUGGACCAUUACUGACGCUGAGGCGCGAAAGCUAGGGGAGCAAACGGG